rnacentral:rRNA from 1 species
AUUGAACGCUGGCGGCACGCCUAACACAUGCAAGUCGAGCGGCAGCGGGAUAAGUAGCAAUACUUAUUGCCGGCGAGCGGCGGACGGGUGAGGAACGCGUAGGAACUUGCCCUUAAGAGUGGGAUAACCAAUGGAAACGUUGGCUGAUACCGCAUAGACUCGGAAGAGGAAAGCUGCCCGCAAGGGUGGCGCUUGAGGAGGGGCCUGCGUCCGAUUAGCUAGUUGGUGGGGUAAAAGCCUACCAAGGCGAUGAUCGGUAACUGGUCUGAGAGGACGACCAGUCACACUGGGACUGAGACACGGCCCAGACUCCUACGGGAGGCAGCAGUGGGGAAUAUUGGACAAUGGGGGCAACCCUGAUCCAGCGAUGCCGCGUGAGUGAAGAAGGCCUUCGGGUCGUAAAGCUCUUUAGGUUGGGAAGAAGUGUGUGGGGUGAAUAGCCCUGCAUAUUGGCGGUACUGACAGAAUAAGCACCGGCAAACUCUGUGCCAGCCGCCGCGGUAAUAC